ACACUCCUGCGGGAGGCAGCAGUGGGGAAUAUUGCACAAUGGGCGCAAGCCUGAUGCAGCCAUGCCGCGUGUAUGAAGAAGGCCUUCGGGUUGUAAAGUACUUUCAGCGGGGAGGAAGGCGAUAAGGUUAAUAACCUUGUCGAUUGACGUUACCCGCAGAAGAAGCACCGGCUAACUCCGUGCCAGCAGCCGCGGUAAUACGGAGGGUGCAAGCGUUAAUCGGAAUUACUGGGCGUAAAGCGCACGCAGGCGGUCUGUCAAGUCGGAUGUGAAAUCCCCGGGCUCAACCUGGGAACUGCAUUCGAAACUGGCAGGCUAGAGUCGUGUAGAGGGGGGUAGAAUUCCAGGUGUAGCGGUGAAAUGCGUAGAGAUCUGGAGGAAUACCGGUGGCGAAGGCGGCCCCCUGGACAAAGACUGACGCUCAGGUGCGAAAGCGUGGUGAGCAAACAGGAUUAGAUACCCCGGUAGUCCCAU
rnacentral:rRNA from 1 species